GUGACUGUAACUUAACUAGCUUUUGUUUUAUCUGAAUUAUUUCACCAGAUGAUGAUGUGGAAGAGUUGAUUAAACAAGACUUGGUGAAGGACGCAGGCGACACCGAGGAAGUCGUCGAUGCUUUCGAGGAUACUUUUAAGAAAGUUCGUGACCACGAUUUGGGCAGAGGACUGCUUGCAAACCACAAGAGAUCAGGAAUUGUUUCAGGGGGAGCCAUUAAUGACUGGAAUUCCAUGCAUGUGGAGAAAGAAAACAAAUAUGCCGACCUAUCAAGGAUUCAAAGGCUGAAAUAAAGGAAGGAAAUAAUGGAACAUAGAUAAUGGCUGAAUUGCUGUUAACGAUGAACUAAUGUAGUGCACAUCUUUUGUAGCAUAGAAUUAUGUUAUCAAAAGCAAAAAUAAAGCAGAGAUCUU